rnacentral:rRNA from 1 species
GACGAACGCUGGCGGCGUGCCUAACACAUGCAAGUCGAACGAAGAAUGUUUUUCGGAAUAUUCUUAGUGGCGGACGGGUGAGUAACGCGUGAACAAUCUGCCCCGUACAAAGGGAUAGCCUCGGGAAACCGGGAUUAAAACCAUAUAACACUUAACUGCCGCAUGGUAGUGAAGUCAAAUCGAUUAAGAGGUAUGGGAUGAGUUCGCGUCUGAUUAGCUAGUUGGUGAGGUAAGGGCUCACCAAGGCGACGAUCAGUAGCCGGCCUGAGAGGGUGAACGGCCACACUGGAACUGAGACACGGUCCAGACUCCUACGGGAGGCAGCAGUGGGGAAUAUUGCACAAUGGAGGGAACUCUGAUGCAGCGACGCCGCGUGAGUGAAGAAGGUCUUCGGAUCGUAAAACUCUGUCCUUGGUGAAGAAAGGACGGUAGCCAAGGAGGAAGCCCCGGCUAACUACGUGCCAGCAGCCGCGGUAAACACGGAAUA